CGAGUCAUUGUAGUAAUACAAGGCAGACGGCUCAGUAACGCGUAGUCAACCUAACCUAUGGACGGGAAUAACCUCGGGAAACUGAGUAUAAUGCCUGAUAGAACAUUAUACCUGGAAUGGUUUAUGUUCCAAAUGAUUUAUCGCCGUAGGAUGGGACUGCGGCCUAUCAGUUUGUUGGUGAGGUAAUGGCCCACCAAGACUAUUACAGGUACGGGCUCUGAGAGGAGUAGCCCGGAGAUGGGUACUGAGACACGGACCCAGGCCCUAUGGGGCGCAGCAGGCGAGAAAACUUUGCAAUGUGCGAAAGCACGACAAGGUUAAUCCGAGUGGUUUCUGCUAAAGGAACCUUUUGUCGGUCCUAGAAACACCGAUGAAUAAGGGGUGGGCAAGUUCUGGUGUCAGCCGCCGCGGUAAAACCAGCACCUCAAGUGGUCAGGAUGAUUAUUGGGCCUAAAGCAUCCGUAGCCGGCUUUGUUAGUUUUCGGUUAAAUCUGUACGCUUAACGUACAGGCUGCCGGGAAUACUGCAGAGCUAGGGAGUGGGAGAGGUAGACGGUACUCGGUAGGAAGGGGUAAAAUCCUUUGAUCUAUUGAUGACCACCUGUGGCGAAGGCGGUCUACCAGAACACGUCCGACGGUGAGGGAUGAAAGCUGGGGGAGCAAACCGGAUUAGAUACCCGGGUAGUCCCAGCUGUAAACUAUGCAAACUCAGUGAUGCAUUGGCUUGUGGCCAAUGCAGUGCUGCAGGGAAGCCGUUAAGUUUGCCGCCUGGGAAGUACGUACGCAAGUAUGAAACUCAAAUGAAUUGACGG
rnacentral:rRNA from 1 species